rnacentral:ncRNA from 1 species
CAUCUGAUAUCGCAAUGGGCUGUCCGGUCAGAAACGACCGGAUGAAUCCUAUCAAAUUCGGGGAAGCCUCCAUGGGUGGUAAUCCCGAGCUAAGCCCAAUCACAGGAAUGGGAAAGUGUAGAGACUUGAUGGUAGGGUCCGUCCUUCGCAAGAAGACGGAUAAGGGAAAGUCCAGACUACAAAUCCGG